rnacentral:rRNA from 1 species
AUUGAACGCUGGCGGCAUGCCUUACACAUGCAAGUCGAACGGUAACAGGUUAAGCUGACGCGUGGCGAACGGGUGAGUAAUACAUCGGAACGUGCCCAGUAGUGGGGGAUAGCCCGGCGAAAGCCGGAUUAAUACCGCAUACGACCUAAGGGUGAAAGGGGGGGAUCGCAAGACCUCUCGCUAUUGGAGCGGCCGAUGUCAGAUUAGCUAGUUGGUGGGGUAAAAGCUCACCAAGGCGACGAUCUGUAGCUGGUCUGAGAGGACGACCAGCCACACUGGGACUGAGACACGGCCCAGACUCCUACGGGAGGCAGCAGUGGGGAAUUUUGGACAAUGGGCGCAAGCCUGAUCCAGCCAUGCCGCGUGCGGGAAGAAGGCCUUCGGGUUGUAAACCGCUUUUGUCAGGGAGGAAAUCCUUUGGGUUAAUACCUCGGGGGGAUGACGGUACCUGAAGAAUAAGCACCGGCUAACUACGUG